UAAAUUUAUCAAUUAAAAAAAAAUUUAAAUAAAAAUUAAUAAAAAAAUUUUUAAAAUAUUUUAAUAGGGGUUAAAGUAUUUAUAAAGAAUUAAUAUAAAAUUUUAUAGUUAAAUAGUAUUGUGAAAGAAUUUUGAAAUAUGUUAAAUUAAAAUUUUUAAAAAGUAAAUUUUAUUUAUUGUAUCUUGUGUAUCAGAGUUUAUUAAUAAAAUUUAAUUUAAAAGUUUAAUUUCUCGAAUUUAAAAGAGUUAAUUAAAAUAAUAAAGUUAAUGUGAUAAAAUUAUUUUUAAUAAUUAAUUUGAAAUGAAAUGUUAUUCGUUUUUAAAUAUAUCUAGUUUUUUCAGAAAAAAAUUUAAUUUUAAUUUUUUUUUUUAAUAAUUUAAUUAAUAAAUUUAUUAAAUUAAAAAUAUUUAUAAUUUAAGGGAUAAGCUUUAAAUUAAAUUUUUAUAAAUAAUUUUGUUUUUUGAUUAAAAUUUUUAUAUUUUAUAUUGAUAAAAAAUUUUAAUUUUUUAUAAAUAAUUUUAAUUAAUAGAAAAUUUAAUAUUAAAAUUUUUUAAAAUUUAUAUGAAAAAUAAAUUUAUAAUUUUAUAAAAUGGGUUAUAAUGAUAAAAUUAGUAAAUUAAAUAAAAUAAUAAAAUAAUUUAAGUUUAAUUAUUAAUUUAAAGGAAUUCGGCAAAAUUUUAUAUUCACUUGUUUAACAAAAACAUGUCUUUUUGAUUUUAAUUUAAAGUCUAAUCUGCCCACUGAUUGAAAAUUGAAGGGCUGCAGUAUUUUGACUGUACAAAGGUAGCAUAAUCAAUAGUCUCUUAAUUGGUGACUUGUAUGAAUGAUUGGAUGAAAUAUAAACUGUCUCUAAAUUAAUUUAUUGAAUUUAAUUUUUUAGUUAAAAAGCUAAAAUAAAUUAAAAAGACGAGAAGACCCUAUAGAGUUUUAUAAUUUAUAAUUUUAAUUUAUUUUGUAUUUAUUAUUAAUUAAAUUAUUUUUUUGAUUAUUUUAUUGGGGUGAUAAAAAAAUAUAAUUAACUUUUUUUUUGUUAAAACAUAUAUAAGUGGUUAAUUGAUCCAUUAUUAAUGAUUAAAAGAAAAAAUUACCUUAGGGAUAACAGCGUUAUUUUUUUUUUUAGUUCUUAUAAAAAAAAAAGUUUGCGACCUCGAUGUUGGAUUAAGAUAAAAUUUAAAUGCAAAAGUUUAAAAUUUUUGAUCUGUUCGAUCAUUAAAAUCUUACAUGAUCUGAGUUCAAACCGGCGUAAGCCAGGUUGGUUUCUAUCUUUUAUAAAAUAAAAUAUUUUAGUACGAAAGGAUCAAAUAUUUUAAUUAAAUUAAUUUAAUGUUGAAUAUUAUUAAUAAUAAUAAUAAAAAAUUUUUU
rnacentral:rRNA from 1 species